rnacentral:rRNA from 1 species
GACAAGUCGGAGGAAGUGGGAUGACGUCAAAUCAUCAUGCCCCUUAUGACCUGGGCUACACACGUGCUACAAUGGGCGGUACGAAGGGCUGCGAACCGCGAGGGGGAGCGAAUCCCAAAAAGCCGCUCUCAGUUCGGAUUGCAGGCUGCAACUCGCCUGCAUGAAGCCGGAAUCGCUAGUAAUCGCGGAUCAGCAUGCCGCGGUCGAAUACGUUCCCGGGCCUU